GGGUUGUGCCUACGUGAGCCACGACGGCGCUGCUCACACCCCUGCCUCAUUCGUGAGCAUUACCUCACCCCUGCCCAAUUUGCAAGGUAGACACUUUGUGGGAGGAAGGAGAGCUCUUCCGCUGUGGGAGCCAUCGGGAAUUGUUCGCUUGCCGGGUGUUGGCCACUUACCCGGUGGCUCCAACUAAGUUGAGGUGCUGGUUUUCAUGUGAGCUGCUGGUGGUGGUUGCGCAUUGAUAGGAGCAACCUGGUUGGGUGGUGACGUUUCUGAGUGGCCAAGCAAUAGCUACUUUUUGUCUACUACCUCUGCAGUGGCUACUUCUGCUAUAAUGCGCAUCAACACCAGAACCACGUUCCCUAUCAUGGUAUGAGGCUUAGCAUCAUCAUCUGCUUCCAAAAGUUUGUGUUUUCAAAUGCUACCUCAUUUUGGG